UACCAUAGUUUCCCCCUCGUUGGACCCCAUGUAACCGGCAUGGGGGUAUAUAAGCAACUGCGGACCAAAGAUUACUCGAUCGCACCGCCAACAGCUGAUCCGAGAUCAAGAAAUCGUGACCAAAACUAGCGUGGUCCCUUCCAAUACUUCAAAAUAAAAUGGACGCUUCUCAGAUAAUAGUUUGCAGCAUUUUGUGCAUGUCCUUAAUGGUGGCGCUAUCUGAAUCGGCGCCUUUGGAACAUUCAUUGACAAAAAGACAUGCAUUCGAAGGAAUCCAACAAGAAAUUGUAAAAUCAAGAAGGCGACGCGGCAUCAACAGGAAUGUCCGGAUCCGCCAGAUGUACAUUUGUCUUGCUCUGAUCCGGGACAUUUCAGACCACCGGAACUUCAACGACAGCUACCUGCCAUCGUAUUGCCGACCAUUAUAUUGUGCACAAUUGGCAAGAAGUGGAGUUCAAAGUUAUCCAUCAUUCUGUACAAACAAUGUUUCGAUUACGGUGAUUCAGAAGUAACAAUGGUACGAUCUAGUAAUUAAUCAAUUUGUUCUUUUAACCAGAGACUUACAGAAAUCCAUACAAGUUAUCAGGAGCAUUUUUGUGGCGUCUUUCAUUUUCAAUUUCAACCGUCCACUUUGGAUGAAAAAUAAAAGGGUUGCCUGGGCUUUUUUGGACGCAAAAGAUGAACAUUAAUUCAUAUAUGGCACAUACAGUGUACUUCGUUUAAUAGCAUCGUUGACAUGCAUGUCUCGUUACCAAAAGGUGCAAUAUUUCGUCAGUGAUAGAGGAAACUGGAGAUCUUGCUCAACCAUUAACAAACGGCAAUUAUGCCGUGCUUCUGCAUUUUGUAUGUGAACUUUUCAUCCAAAUUCAAUAUCAGUAGCAUUUAUUCCUCAGAUGUUUGCCAUGCAAACUCCCCGCCCCCUUUUUCUCUAGUAUCUAACUCGUCAAAUCUGAUUUCUCGCUAGUAUAUGUUUUUGCAAAUGAAAUUGGAUAUAUAUUUAAUGUGACUGAGGACUGUUAUGUUUGAAUAAAAAAUAUUAUAAUUUU